UAGGGAAUCUUCCGCAAUGGACGAAAGUCUGACGGAGCAACGCCGCGUGAGUGAAGAAGGAUUUCGGUUCGUAAAACUCUGUUGUUAGGGAAGAAAAAAUGUAUAGUAACUAUAUACAAAAGAGACGGUACCUAACCAGAAAGCCACGGCUAACUACGUGCCAGCAGCCGCGGUAAUACGUAGGUGGCAAGCGUUGUCCGGAAUUAUUGGGCGUAAAGCGCGCGCAGGUGGUUUAGAAAGUCUGAUGUGAAAGCCCACGGCUCAACCGUGGAGAGUCAUUGGAAACUAAUAAACUUGAGUGCAGGAGAGAAAAGUGGAAUUCCUAGUGUAGCGGUGAAAUGCGUAGAGAUUAGGAGGAACACCGGUGGCGAAAGCGGCUUUUUGGCCUGCAACUGACACUGAGGCGCGAAAGAGUGGGGAGCAAACAGG
rnacentral:rRNA from 1 species